GCGUCCGUAGCUCAGUUGGAUAGAGCGCCGGACUACGAAUCCGUAGGUCGCAGGUUCGACUCCUGCCGGGCGCG
rnacentral:tRNA from 1 species